UACGAAGGGGGCUAGCGUUGCUCGGAAUCACUGGGCGUAAAGCGCACGUAGGCGGAUUGUUAAGUCAGGGGUGAAAUCCUGGAGCUCAACUCCAGAACUGCCUUUGAUACUGGCGAUCUUGAGUCCGGGAGAGGUGAGUGGAACUGCGAGUGUAGAGGUGAAAUUCGUAGAUAUUCGCAAGAACACCAGUGGCGAAGGCGGGUCUCUGGACAGUUCCUGACGCUGAGGCACGAAGGCCAGGGGAGCAAACGGGAGUUAGA
rnacentral:rRNA from 1 species